rnacentral:rRNA from 1 species
CCUACGGGUGGCAGCAGUGGGGAAUAUUGGACAAUGGGGGAAACCCUGAUCCAGCGACGCCGCGUGAGUGAAGAAGUAUUUCGGUACGUAAAGCUCUAUCAGCAGGAAAGAAAAUGACGGUACCUGACUCAGAAGCGCCGGCUAACUACGUGCCAGCAGCCGCGGUCAUACGUCGGGGGCAAGCGUUAUCCGGAUUUACUGGGUGUAAAGGGGGCGUAGACGGGAGCGCAAGGCUGGAGGGAAAUGCCGGGGCCCAACCCCGGAACUGCUCUGGAAACUGUGGAGCUGGAGUGCAGGAGAGGUAAGCGGAAUGCCUGGUGUAGCGGUGAAAUGCGUAGAUAUCAGGAGGAACACCGACGGCGAAGGCAGCUUACUGGACUGUAACUGACGUUGAGGCUCGAAGGCGUGGGGAGCAAACAGGAUUAGAUACCCCUGUAGUC